rnacentral:rRNA from 1 species
CAGUAGCCGCGGUAAUACGUAGGGUGCAAGCGUUAAUCGGAAUUACUGGGCGUAAAGCGUGCGUAGGCGGCUUUUUAAGUCGGAUGUGAAAUCCCUGAGCUUAACUUAGGAAUUGCAUUCGAUACUGGGAAGCUAGAGUAUGGGAGAGGAUGGUAGAAUUCCAGGUGUAGCGGUGAAAUGCGUAGAGAUCUGGAGGAAUACCGAUGGCGAAGGCAGCCAUCUGGCCUAAUACUGACGCUGAGGUACGAAAGCAUGGGGAGCAAACAGGAUUAGAUACCCCAGUAGUCCCUGUCUCUUAUAC